CAGUAGCCGCGGUAAUACGGAGGGGGCUAGCGUUGUUCGGAAUUACUGGGCGUAAAGCGCACGUAGGCGGCUUGGUAAGUUAGAGGUGAAAGCCUGGAGCUCAACUCCAGAAUUGCCUUUAAGACUGCCGAGCUAGCAGGUGAGAGAGGUAAGUGGAAUUCCGAGUGUAGAGGUGAAAUUCGUAGAUAUUCGGAAGAACACCAGUGGCGAAGGCGGCUUACUGGCUCAUACUGGACGCUGAGGUGCGAAAGCGUGGGGAGCAAACAGGAUUAGAUACCCCCGUAGUCCCUGUCUCUAUACA
rnacentral:rRNA from 1 species